rnacentral:rRNA from 1 species
UGCCUAAUACAUGCAAGUCGAGCGAACAGAUAAGGAGCUUGCUCCUUUGACGUUAGCGGCGGACGGGUGAGUAACACGUGGGUAACCUACCUAUAAGACUGGGAUAACUUCGGGAAACCGGAGCUAAUACCGGAUAACAUUUGGAACCGCAUGGUUCUAAAGUGAAAGAUGGUUUUGCUAUCACUUAUAGAUGGACCCGCGCCGUAUUAGCUAGUUGGUAAGGUAACGGCUUACCAAGGCGACGAUACGUAGCCGACCUGAGAGGGUGAUCGGCCACACUGGAACUGAGACACGGUCCAGACUCCUACGGGAGGCAGCAGUAGGGAAUCUUCCGCAAUGGGCGAAAGCCUGACGGAGCAACGCCGCGUGAGUGAUGAAGGGUUUCGGCUCGUAAAACUCUGUUAUUAGGGAAGAACAAAUGUGUAAGUAACUGUGCACGUCUUGACGGUACCUAAUCAGAAAGCCACGGCUAACUACGUGCCAGCAGCCGCGGUAAUACGUAGGUGGCAAGCGUUAUCCGGAAUUAUUGGGCGUAAAGCGCGCGUAGGCGGUUUCUUAAGUCUGAUGUGAAAGCCCACGGCUCAACCGUGGAGGGUCAUUGGAAACUGGGAAACUUGAGUGCAGAAGAGGAAAGUGGAAUUCCAUGUGUAGCGGUGAAAUGCGCAGAGAUAUGGAGGAACACCAGUGGCGAAGGCGACUUUCUGGUCUGUAACUGACGCUGAUGUGCGAAAGCGUGGGGAUCAAACAGGAUUAGAUACCCUGGUAGUCCACGCCGUAAACGAUGAGUGCUAAGUGUUAGGGGGUUUCCGCCCCUUAGUGCUGCAGCUAACGCAUUAAGCACUCCGCCUGGGGAGUACGACCGCAAGGUUGAAACUCAAAGGAAUUGACGGGGACCCGCACAAGCGGUGGAGCAUGUGGUUUAAUUCGAAGCAACGCGAAGAACCUUACCAAAUCUUGACAUCCUUUGAAAACUCUAGAGAUAGAGCCUUCCCCUUCGGGGGACAAAGUGACAGGUGGUGCAUGGUUGUCGUCAGCUCGUGUCGUGAGAUGUUGGGUUAAGUCCCGCAACGAGCGCAACCCUUAAGCUUAGUUGCCAUCAUUAAGUUGGGCACUCUAGGUUGACUGCCGGUGACAAACCGGAGGAAGGUGGGGAUGACGUCAAAUCAUCAUGCCCCUUAUGAUUUGGGCUACACACGUGCUACAAUGGACAAUACAAAGGGCAGCUAAACCGCGAGGUCAUGCAAAUCCCAUAAAGUUGUUCUCAGUUCGGAUUGUAGUCUGCAACUCGACUACAUGAAGCUGGAAUCGCUAGUAAUCGUAGAUCAGCAUGCUACGGUGAAUACGUUCCCGGGUCUUGUACACACCGCCCGUCACACCACGAGAGUUUGUAACACCCGAAGCCGGUGGAGUAACCAUUUAUGGAGCUAGCCGUCGAAGGUGGACAAA